rnacentral:rRNA from 1 species
UGAGGAAUAUUGGUCAAUGGGCGGGAGCCUGAACCAGCCAAGUCGCGUGAGGGAAGACGGUCCUAUGGAUUGUAAACCUCUUUUGUCGGGGAGCAAAGAGGCCACGUGUGGUCAAAAGCGAGAGUACCCGAAGAAAAAGCA